CUUGUACUCCCUCCGUCCAGAAAUACUUGUCGGAGGAAUGGAUGUAUCUAGACAUAUUUUAAUUCUAGAUACAUUUAUUUUUAUGCAUUUCUUCGACAAGUAUUUUUGGACGGAGGGAGUACUAU
rnacentral:pre_miRNA from 1 species